GACGAACGCUGGCGGCGUGCUUAACACAUGCAAGUCGAACGGUAAGGCCCUUCGGGGUACACGAGUGGCGAACGGGUGAGUAACACGUGGGUGAUCUGCCCUGCACUUCGGGAUAAGCCUGGGAAACUGGGUCUAAUACCGGAUAGGACCACUGCCUGCAUGGGUGGUGGUGGAAAGCUUUUUGCGGUGUGGGAGGGGCCCGCGGCCUAUCAGCUUGUUGGGGGGGUGGUGGCCUACCAGGGCGACGACGGGUAGCCGGCCUGAGAGGGUGACCGGCCACACGGGGACUGAGAUACGCCCCAGACUCCUACGGGAGGAAGCAGGGGGGAAUAUUGCACAAUGGGCGCAAGCCUGAUGCAGCGACGCCGCGGGAGGGAUGACGGCCUUCGGGUUGUAACCCUCUUUCAGCCCCGACGAAGCGAAAGUGACGGUAGGGGCAGAAGAAGGACCGGCCAACUACGUGCCAGCCGCCGCCGUAA
rnacentral:rRNA from 1 species